rnacentral:rRNA from 1 species
UACGUAGGUGGCAAGCGUUGUCCGGAUUUACUGGGCGUAAAGAGCGCGCAGGCGGUCGUUCAAGUCGGAUGUGAAAGCCCCCGGCUCAACUGGGGAGGGUCAUUCGAUACUGAUCGACUUGAAGGCAGGAGAGGGAAGCGGAAUUCCCGGUGUAGUGGUGAAAUGCGUAGAUAUCGGGAGGAACACCAGUGGCGAAGGCGGCUUCCUGGCCUGUUCUUGACGCUGAGGCGCGAAAGCCAGGGGAGCAAACGGG